rnacentral:lncRNA from 1 species
CCCUGAGAGAGAAGUCCUCCCUAUCUGUUCCAGUUAACUCCUGCACUAGUGAUCUUUGCUUUCCACUGUGGAUGAACAGACCGAUCCAGGUGAAACCAGCGGACAGCGAAAGCCGAGGAGGUGCCCUCUGCAAGUGGUUUGAGGAGCCCAAGCAGUGC